rnacentral:rRNA from 1 species
GAUGAACGCUGGCGGCGUGCUUAAUACAUGCAAGUCGAGCGGUAACACUUCGGGUGACGAGCGGCGGACGGCUGAGUAACGCGUAGGAACCUACCCCAGACUGAGGGAUAAGCAUCAGAAAUGGUGUCUAAUACCGCAUACGCUCUUCGGAGUAAAGCUUCGGCGGUUUGGGAAGGGCCUGCGUAUGAUUAGCUUGUUGGUGAGGUAACGGCUCACCAAGGCGACGAUCAUUAGCUGGUCUGAGAGGAUGAUCAGCCAGACUGGGACUGAGACACGGCCCAGACUCCUACGGGAGGCAGCAGUAGGGAAUUUUCCACAAUGGGCGCAAGCCUGAUGGAGCAACGCCGCGUGCAGGAUGAAGGCUUUCGGGUCGUAACUGCUUUUCUGAUUGAAGAUUGUGACGGUAGGUCAGGAAUAAGGGUCGGCUAACUACGUGCCAGCCGCCGCGGUAAU